rnacentral:tRNA from 1 species
GCGCCUGUAGCUCAGAAGGACAGAGCAUCGGAUUUCUAAUCCGACGGUCGUGGGUUCGAGUCCCUCCAGGCGCG